AGUGGGGAAUAUUGCACAAUGGAGGAAACUCUGAUGCAGCAACGCCGCGUGGAGGAUGACGCAUUUCGGUGUGUAAACUCCUUUUAUAUAGGAAGAUAAUGACGGUACUAUAUGAAUAAGCACCGGCUAACUCCGUGCCAGCAGCCGCGGUAAUACGGAGGGUGCAAGCGUUACUCGGAAUCACUGGGCGUAAAGCGCAUGCAGGCGGUCUAAUAAGUUGGAAGUGAAAUCCUAUGGCUCAACCAUAGAACUGCUUCCAAAACUGUUAGACUAGAGUCUGGGAGGGGAAGAUGGAAUUAGUAGUGUAGGGGUAAAAUCCGUAGAGAUUACUAGGAAUACCAAAAGCGAAGGCGAUCUUCUGGAACAGUACUGACGCUGAGAUGCGAAAGCGUGGGGAGCAAACAGGAUUAGAUACCCUGGUAGUCCACGCAGUAAACGAUGAAUGUUAGUCGUUGGUAUGCUAGACAUAUCAGUGAUGCAGUUAACACAUUAAACAUUCCGCCUGGGGAGUACGGUCGCAAGAUUAAAACUCAAAGGAAUAGACGGGGACCCGCACAAGUGGUGGAGCAUGUGGUUUAAUUCGAAGAUACGCGAAGAACCUUACCUAGCCUUGACAUAUUAUAGAAUUCAGUAGAGAUACAGAAGUGCCUUCGGGAGCUAUAUUACAGGUGCUGCACGGCUGUCGUCAGCUCGUGUCGUGAGAUGUUGGGUUAAGUCCCGCAACGAGCGCAACCCUCGUCACUAGUUACUAACGGUUAGGCCGAGGACUCUAGUGAGACUGCCUUCGUAAGGAGGAGGAAGGUGAGGACGACGUCAAGUCAUCAUGGCCCUUACGGCUAGGGCAACACACGUGCUACAAUGGUUAGGACAAUGAGAAGCAAUAUCGCGAGGUGGAGCAAAUCUAUAAACCUAAUCUCAGUUCGGAUUGUAGUCUGCAACUCGACUACAUGAAGCUGGAAUCACUAGUAAUCGUAGAUCAGCUAUGCUACGGUGAAUACGU
rnacentral:rRNA from 1 species